CCCCUCUCAAAGUCACACCUGGGGAGUUUCCAGUACUCUACCAGUCUUGACUAUGUGAGGGAGAGUCAAGCAGAAGCAUAUCCCUUCCGUUUCUAGCUUGGCCAGUGGCUAGCGAGUGGAGGGCAAUCUGCUACAAGU